GGGGCAGUAGCUCAGUGGAUAGAGCAGCGGCCUUCUAAGCCGAAGGUCGAGGGUUCGAAUCCCUCCUGCCCCGCCA
rnacentral:tRNA from 1 species